UACGGAGGGGGCUAGCGUUGUUCGGAAUUACUGGGCGUAAAGCGCACAUAGGCGGCUUUGUAAGUUAGAGGUGAAAGCCCGGGGCUCAACUCCGGAAUUGCCUUUAAGACUGCAUCGCUAGAAUUGUGGAGAGGUAAGUGGAAUUCCGAGUGUAGAGGUGAAAUUCGUAGAUAUUCGGAAGAACACCAGUGGCGAAGGCGACUUACUGGGCACAUAUUGACGCUGAGGUGCGAAAGCGUGGGGAGCAAACAGG
rnacentral:rRNA from 1 species